AAUAGUCUAGCCUGCUCACUGACAAGUAAGUUAAAGAGCCGCGGUAUCCUGACCGUGCAAAGGUAGCAUAAUCAUUAGUUUCUUAAUUAGAAACUCGUAUGAAUGGUUGAACAAAAGAAGAACUGUCUCUGAUAUAAAAGUAGAAUUUAACUUUUAAGUGAAAAGGCUUAAAUAAUUCAGGGGGACGAUAAGACCCUAUAAAGCUUUAUAUUGUCAGCGUGAUUUAAUCGAAAUAAAGAAAUUAAAGGUUCUAGUAGGCUUAUUAUAUUUUAUUGGGGAGGUAUAAGUAUAAUUAAAUGUAAUUGCUUAUAGGUAAAUACAUAGAUAAUUGGGUAGAAUUUCGAUGAUCCUUUGAAAUAAAGAAUUAAGACCAAGUUACUUUAGGGAUAACAGCGUUAUUUUUUUUGAGAGUUCAUAUCGAAAAAAAAGUUUGCGACCUCGAUGUUGAAUUAAAAUAAUCUUUUUAGUGCAGCCGCUAUAGAAGAGGGUCUGUUCG
rnacentral:rRNA from 1 species